rnacentral:lncRNA from 1 species
GGUAUUCCUGAGUAUCUCAGUAAAGUUAUUAUAUCCUCUAUUUCAAAUCUACUAUGCAGGUUAUGUAGAAUGCUGUUCUUUUGUCUAAAUUUAGACCUGCCAGAGGCAUCAGACAAGGGUGCUAUUUCAAAUCUACUAUGCAGGUUAUGUAGAAUGCUUUCAUAAGCAGCAGGUAUUCCUGAGUAUCUCAGUAAAGUUAUUAUAUCCUCUAUUUCAAAUCUACUAUGCAGGUUAUGUAGAAUGCUGUUCUUUUGUCUAAAUUUAGACCUGCCAGAGGCAUCAGACAAGGGUGCUAUUUCAAAUCUACUAUGCAGGUUAUGUAGAAUGCUGUUCUUUUGUCUAAAUUUAGACCUGCCAGAGGCAUCAGACAAGGGUGCUCGCUCUCUUCCUAUCUUUUUAUGCUUUGCAUGGAAUGGCUUGGUCAUUUGAUUCAUUCAGCUAUUUCGGUGGAAAAGUGGAACCCAAUACAUAUGGGUCGCCUAUCUCACAUUUGUUCUUUACAGAUGACCUAGUUAUUUUCAGCAAAGCGGACUUGUGGUUUUUGUGGGCAUCUUAUUAAUGUAAGGAAUAUUCUGGAUCGGUUCUGUGGGCAUCUUAUUAAUGCAAGGAAGACCAACAUUUUGUGGGCAUCUUAUUAAUGUAAGGAAUAUUUUUGUGGGCAUCU